ACGAACGCUGGCGGCGUGCUUAACACAUGCAAGUCGAACGGAAAGGCCCUGCUUUUGUGGGGUGCUCGAGUGGCGAACGGGUGAGUAACACGUGAGUAACCUGCCCUUGACUUUGGGAUAACUUCAGGAAACUGGGGCUAAUACCGGAUAGGAGCUCCUGCUGCAUGGUGGGGGUUGGAAAGUUUCGGCGGUUGGGGAUGGACUCGCGGCUUAUCAGCUUGUUGGUGGGGUAGUGGCUUACCAAGGCUUUGACGGGUAGCCGGCCUGAGAGGGUGACCGGCCCCAUUGGGACUUAGAUACGGCCCAGACUCCUACGGGAGGCAGCAGUGGGGAAUAUUGCACAAUGGGCGGAAGCCUGAUGCAGCAACGCCGCGUGCGGGAUGACGGCCUUCGGGUUGUAAACCGCUUUCGCCUGUGACGAAGCGUGAGUGACGGUAAUGGGUAAAGAAGCACCGGCUAACUACGUG
rnacentral:rRNA from 1 species